rnacentral:tRNA from 1 species
CAAGGGGAAUUGGAUUGGGGCUGCUAACUUCGAUCCGGGGCACAUGGCUCCGCCUCUU